ACUUCCCAUCUCUGUGUACAGCCCCCAUUGGACCGUCCCUGAAAGCUACCCCGCCCUCUGGGAGGGCCAGAGUAGGUUGGAUAAUAGGACUGAUGCAUAGCUGGGGGAGGGGCCUGUGGAGCUACAGUCACCGGGGCCUGAAGUGGAGGGGUAGGGGGCGUGGCUACCAUCUGUUUUUUAGCUUCUUUGGUCUUUUUGUCCUUAUUAACUUCCUCUCUAAGUUUAGCAAGCUGUAGUUUAAGCACAGUGACUUCUAUGUCUUCUUUCUGAUGUUGCUGGUCCUUCUGCUUUUUGUCAUACUGAUUAAGAUGAUGCUUAGCAAAC